UUUGUCUUCCUCAGCAGUUCUAUCGGUGCAGAGAGGCGGACGAAGGUAGGUUUCUGCCGCUCCCCGGCCACCGCUAGCACCUCAGCUCAUCCCGACGCCUUGAGCUCGUCGCGUCCCCCACUCAUCCGGAUGCGCGGCGACCAAUCCCGACCAACUCUGUUGCGGCCACCCCAACCCUUCCUCUCGGCCGCGCCGCCAUGGUUUCAAGCCAUAAUGGAUCUGCUCCAGCCACGACGGCACCAUGUACCCGUCGCACUGCCACGAAUCCCCGGCCAUAAUCGAUCUGCUCUUGCCUCUGUUGGACCUGCACGCCACUCUGCUAUCCGACCCGUGCCUCCCCGUUGUGGUCUCCCUCAGUUCCUCCAUGGCUGACCCAAGCAGCAAAAGCAGCGCAAGAACAUGGGGAAGAAGGGCAUAUACGGAGGAGGACGAUCUCGCCGCGCAGAAUCGCUGCAAGUAUAGGUCAUGCUCUAAUGCAGCCGCCUCUGGCUCACUGCAGCAUCCUACAUAUCUCUUAUUGUUAUUCAGUGGGACUGCUACUCUGAAAUUCUGAUUCUAUGCUUACAUGCCAUUGAAAUUAUAAGUUGUUUUUUACCAAUCUUCGGAUGAUAUUGGUUACAACAAUAUUAAGCUAUUAUUAAUCUUUCUGCCACUCCAUUCAAUCUUUUAUGCAAAAAAUCUCAAUGGAAAUGAAUUGCAAAUAAUAUUAUACAAUUUGUCACAUCUGAAGGCUGCAAGGGUUCAUCGUCUACUUGGUUUCGUUCUUUGUUUCAGCGGAUCUCUAAGGCGGAGCAAUGUGGACAACUAGCAGAUGAGAAAGCCGGCUAGCAGAUUGCUUGCAUCUGUUUAUGAACUUUUUCUCCAAGACAUUUGUCACCCGAGACUUAACUUGCUGCAUAUUUAGGCGUGGAUUAAACUAUGUUGUAGGUGCGUAUACCAGGACCUUUCGCAUAUUUGACGAUAUGCCCUGGCACAUCUUAAAGGACUAUUUUCCCUUUGAGAUGGAAACGUAAAGACUGCAUGGGACCUCUCUGCUGGGGAAAUAGACCCACACUGGUCUAGAUUAAAGGGGAGAACAAGGGCGAAGGGAACAAUUGGCCAGGAAGUUAUUUGUAAAAAAUGUUAUUGAGAUAAUGAACGAUGCAUCUUCUAUUAUUCUUCCUAUAAAUGCUCAUGGUGAACCUACCCCUGGCUUUGGCAUUUGUUAGGAAUCGUGACAUUUGAAACUGCGGUAUCGUGACAUUUGAAACUGUGGUAUUGUUUGUUGGAAAAAAUAGAGUGCUUUGUUCUCCAAAGAAAAUGCAUACUGUUAGUCUGUAGUUGAAACAAAUUCCCACCAGCAAGAUGUAUG